UGAGCAAUCUGCCCUUCUCAUCGGAAUAAGCGUUGGAAACGACGUCUAAUGCCGAAUACGACCUCCACGGGCAUCUGUGGAGGUGGAAAGGGUUUCCGGCUGAGGAUGGGCCCGCGGCCUAUCAGCUUGUUGGUGGGGUGACGGCCCACCAAGGCGACGACGGGUAGCCGGCCUGAGAGGGUGACCGGCCACACUGGGACUGAGACACGGCCCAGACUCCUACGGGAGGCAGCAGUGGGG
rnacentral:rRNA from 1 species